UGGGGAAUAUUGGACAAUGGGCGAAAGCCUGAUCCAGCAAUACCGCGUGGGUGAUGAAGGCCUUAGGGUUGUAAAGCCCUUUCAGCAGGGAAGAUAAUGACGGUACCUGAAGAAGAAGCCCCGGCUAACUCCGUGCCAGCAGCCGCGGUAAGACGGAGGGGGCUAGCGUUGUUCGGAAUUACUGGGCGUAAAGAGCGUGUAGGCGGCUUUGUAAGUUAGGAGUGAAAGCCCAAAGCUUAACUUUGGAAUUGCUCUUAAGACUACUAACCUAGAGUACGAUAGAGGGUGAUGGAAUUCCUAGUGUAGAGGUGAAAUUCUUAGAUAUUAGGAGGAACACCGAAGGCGAAAGCAAUCACCUGGGUCGAUACUGACGCUGAGACGCGAAAGCGUGGGGAGCAAA
rnacentral:rRNA from 1 species